rnacentral:rRNA from 1 species
CACACCGCCCGUCACACCAUGGGAGUGGGUUGCACCAGAAGUAGCUAGUCUAACCGCAAGGGGGACGGUCACCACGGUGUGAUUCAUGACUGGGGUG